rnacentral:lncRNA from 1 species
CUAUCCCAUUGAAGAGAUCAAUGGUCUGCGACACUGCCAGACUGAAGGGUUGUAGGGUGAGGUGCCUUAGCAGGAGGAUGGAGGUAAUUGCAAUCCCAUCGAAGAGAUCGGGGGCCUGAGAGACUGCGAGGCUGAGCAGUCAUAGUGUGAGGUGCUUUCGCAGGAAGAUUGCGGUAAUUGCAAUCCAGUUAAAGAGAUCGAGGGCCGGCGAGAUUGGGAUGGAUUGCUGCACUACGGGAUGGAGGCGGACAGCCGAGGUCAUCGCAGUUUGGGGAAAGGUUGGGGAAGCUCGGCGGAACGAAGGGGUCGCGGGGGCUGACGCCGACAUCGAGGGACUGAUACACUUAAUUGCUUAAAAU